rnacentral:rRNA from 1 species
UACGUAGGGUGCGAGCGUUAAUCGGAAUUACUGGGCGUAAAGCGUGCGCAGGCGGUUUUGUAAGCCAGAUGUGAAAUCCCCGGGCUUAACCUGGGAAUGGCAUUUGGGACUGCAAGGCUUGAGUGCGGCAGAGGAGACUGGAAUUCCUGGUGUAGCAGUGAAAUGCGUAGAUAUCAGGAGGAACACCGAUGGCGAAGGCAGGUCUCUGGGCUGACACUGACGCUCAUGCACCGAAAGCGUGGGG